GUGUCAGCAGCCGCGGUAAUACGUAGGGGGCAAGCGUUGUCCGGAUUUAUUGGGCGUAAAGAGCGUGUAGGCGGCCAGGUAGGUCAGCUGUGAAAACUCGAGGCUCAACCUCGAGACGUCGGUUGAAACCACCUGGCUAGAGUCCGGAAGAGGAGAGUGGAAUUCCUGGUGUAGCGGUGAAAUGCGCAGAUAUCAGGAAGAACACCCGUGGCGAAGGCGGCUCUCUGGGACGGUACUGACGCUGAGACGCGAAAGCGUGGGGAGCGAACAGGAUUAGAUACCCGCGUAGUCC
rnacentral:rRNA from 1 species